AACCCUGAUAGUUUCCUCUUAAAGGUUGAUGAAAAUGGUCGUUUUAUCAGCAAUAAUUCUCUUGAAAGUAAGUGCAAUUACCAUGCUUAUGCAUCUAUCACUUUCCAUGAGUCAUUGCAAUCUUUAGAAUAAUCUUCUUGCCAAAAAAAUUCCAACUUUAGAUUUAGUUAUAGAACCCGUUUAUCACUAUGAUUACAGAAUAUGCUUGCCUCCUUGGAGAAUAAACAACGAGC
rnacentral:lncRNA from 1 species